rnacentral:rRNA from 1 species
UACGGAGGGGGCUAGCGUUGUUCGGAAUUACUGGGCGUAAAGCGUGCGCAGGCGGUUUUGUAAGCCAGAUGUGAAAUCCCCGGGCUUAACCUGGGAAUGGCAUUUGGGACUGCAAGGCUCGAGUGCGGCAGAGGAGACUGGAAUUCCUGGUGUAGCAGUGAAAUGCGUAGAUAUGCGGAGGAACACCGAUGGCGAAGGCAAUCCCCUGGACCUGUACUGACGCUCAUGCACGAAAGCGUGGGGAGCAAACAGG